UUAAGCUUUCAGUAUCAUUUGUGUGUCUGUUUUAAGCUGAAUAGAAUGUGCAAAUGUGCAUCAGCUUCAACUAUUCAACACUAUUUGUGUGUGCAGGCUUUAUGAGUGCACAGAGGUCAAACACUAAACUCAAACUACUUUGAUUUCUUUCUCUUUAGAAAGCUAUAGGAAUACUGAAAUUAAUAAUAUAAAUACAGUUUUAACUCUGCUUGGGGUUGGUGGUAACAUUUUCACUGAUGUUAUUAGCAAGACUGUUGUUGUUACAACUGAAACAGCAUUAUGUGGUCAUGAAUCUUCUCCUCGCAGAUAACAGCUAAAACAAUAUUAACCAUGUGGAUCAAAUAUAGGCUAUCCACACUCAGACACACAGGCAUUGCUAUCUCAAAAGUAAUUAAGUAAAAAAUAAUACUUAGCUGGAAUUAUAUUUUUUCUUGUCUAAUAUCUGCUGUGUCUGUCACAGGACUUUACAUUUUCAUAUGGGAACUGAUAUGACCAUGUGUGAAUUGAAUCAGCUGGUUAUAGAGAUUGUAGGUUUCACAACUAUUCCCUGUCUCACCCUUGAAAUCUAAACAUGAACUUGUAUUUUAAAUGUAUGUUUCACAAUUACAUAUUCAAAUGAGAGAUUAGAUCUGCUUACAGCGCAUGAUAUACAAUAUGUGUGUCAGAAAGUCAGCCAGUGAUUAUAAAUACACCAUUUGACCAAUUCAUAUGUCAUUUAUAAAUUAAAUCGUGCAGUAUUUUAGUGAUUUGGUGGAAUUGCGAUCAUAACUUUAGUAAACCGUGGAGUUUGCGUAAACUGCACCUGACCACUGUUUUCAGGCCAACUCGGGUACAGUAUGCAGGUGCUCCGUCUGUGCAUACAGAGACUAACUUUAAUUGUUGUGUUUCUCCAAGCUUUAAAUAUGACAAAUUUGCUUGAGUCUAUGUUCUGCACCUUUUGAAUCACAUCCAGAUUCAUUUAAAUCUGAGGAAACAAACUAAAUUGUAAACCACAUCGCUUGGCUAUUUACAAAGCAACUGACUUUAGGCUACAAAGUAUUUCGAAAACGCAUUAUUUUACACAACUAUGAACACGUUAGCAAUGAUGCAGCAUGAGGAAAUUCCUGAGUUUGCAGUUAUUGCAAGACUGGUCUGCAAAAGCACUUCUCUAGCACUUAUCUGCUUGAAAGCUCCACAGUUUCUUUCUUCUGAUGACAUAAUGCACUAAACAUACUAAUCACAAUGGUAUGCUUGUCAGUACAGAGAACAGCCAAUGCUCAUCACAUUGGUAUUAUAAAGAGUGUUCAUAUAUUUUUAUUAUUCUGUGAUUCCUUCAUGCAUCACUAGAAGGACGCCUGCGUACCCCACUUAGAGAACCAAUGGUAUAGAGUUAGUUAAGUCUGUGUCAGGUUUUUUCCAUUUUCAGCCAAUGGAGAGCAGGCAAAAAAGGGAGAUUAACAAGAGAACAUGUAUCUAAAAAUGCUGAAGAACAGCAGGGAGGGUUUUGUUGGGGCGGCCUUUGUUUGUUUUUUGCAGAUUGGAGUGUAGCAAAAGGAGGAGACCCACAAGGGGAACAGUGGAGAUAUACUUGAAGACCUGGAGCUCAGGAAACAGAUUGGCACGGAGGAAACAGGGAAACACACCUUCAGUCGAUCCUAAUAAAUUAGUGUCACAGAAGAGACGGGAUUCAGAUGAAUAAUAUAAACAAUGUUUAUUUACAGGAUUGCAUGUGAGUAUAAGCAGGUGAGUAUGUUGAUGCGGAGGAUAAGUCCAUAAAUAUAAACUGGAUAUUUGACUGUGCAGGCUUGGCGAAUGGACAUGGAUACCACAGAUGGCAAACAGGAUGAAAACCAGACGAGGAACCAGGAGACACCACACUGGGAGAGACAUGGAAGACACAGGAAACGCAAAUUGGAAUGGACCACAUGGAGAAAAAGGGAAUCAAACCUCAGCAAUGACUGGAAAUUGAUGGUCAGGAAUUUUUUAAAAAUCCAGUCGAUGGGUGCAUGGAUGGACGUCCUUGCAAGAUACAAGAGUGGUAAUCAGUUUGGAUGAGGAAUUAGGCCUUGUCUGUGUGAGGUUUUUCUUUUUCAGGUAAUGGAGAUAGAGCAGGCAGAAGAGGAGCAGGUAUGGCUUUGUUGGGGCUGUUUUUGUCUUUUACAGAUUGAAGUGGAGCAGAAGAAGGAGACUCAAAAGGCAGGAGAUAUGCUUCAAGACCUGGAGCUCAGGAAACAGUUGGAGCAUGUGGAGCAACAGGGAAACACACCUGCAUGUAUGGAUGUCCUUCCAGGAGGAAGGGGGUGGUGGUGGGCAUAGAUAGAUGUCUUGUCUGUGGCUGUUAUUUACACUGUAGGUAAUGGAACCACAACAGACAAAAAAAGAGAGCCUCACAAGCGGAAUGGUGAAUAUUUAUCUGAAGAACGCUGGAGAACAUUUGGCUUAUUGCUGGAGAUCAAGUCUUGUUUUUGUCUUUUGCAGAUUAGACUGGGGAAUCAGACCUCAGCAAUGACUGAAAACUGAUAGUCUGGUUAAGUAUUUCCUGAAUGGAUGGGUGGAUGAAUGAAUGAAAAAUAGAUGUCCUUCCAGGAGGAAGGGGUGGUGGUGGGCUUAGAUGGUUAGCUAGUUGUCUUGUCUGCGACAGGUGUUUUUUUUUUCGAGUAAUGGACACACAGCAGGCAGAAGGACACUCUCACAAGAGCAUCUGUUGAGAUUUAUCUGAAGAACACUGGAGAACAUCUUCCAUUGCUGGAGUUCAGCAAUCACAUAGAGCUCUGUUAGUCCUGUUGUUUUCUUUUGCAAUUACACACCUCAGCAAUGACUGGAAAUGUCCUGGUUACGUCCUUAACCCACGUUCCCCGAAUAGGGAAUGGAGAUGCGUGUCUGUAGAUAAACAAACUUUUGGUGAGUGCGUCAGACAACCAAUCACUUCUGAAGAUAAGAAAACAGGCCAAUUAAAUGGCAAUUGAAUUGGCGGAGCUUAGCUCAACAGCUGAACUGAUAGAGACACAGCUGAAAAAAAUGGUAUUAUGAUAAAUGAAUGACUUGAUAUCUUUCUAUUGUAUUUUACAGAUUGGAAUGGACCACAUGGAGAAAAAGGGAAUCACACACCUCAGCAACGACUGAAAAUUGAUGGUCAGGAUUUUUUUAAAAAUCCAGUCGAUGGGUGCAUGGAUGGACGUCCUUGCAAGAUUGAAGAGUGGCAAUCAGUUUGGAUGAGGAAUUAGGCCUUGUCUUUGUGAGGUUUUUCUUUUUCAGGUAAUGGAGAUAGAGCAGGCAGAAGAGGAGCAGGUAUGGCUUUCUUGGGGCUGUUUUUGUCUUUUGCAGAUUGAAGUGGAGCAGAAGAAGGAGACUCAAAAGGGAGGAGAUAUGCUUGAAGACCUGGGGCCUCAUGUAUCAACGCUGCGUACGCACAAAAACUUUGCGUACGCCAAGUUUCACGCUCAGAAU